rnacentral:rRNA from 1 species
AGCACCGGGCUAANUCCCGUGNCAGCNGNCGCGGUAAUACGGAGGGUGCNAGCGUUUANUNGNAAUUACUGGGNGUAAAGCGCACGCNGGCGGUUUGUUANGUCAGAUNNGAAAUCCCNNGGCUCANNNGGGAACUGCAUUNGAAACNGGCAAGNNNGAGUNUNNUAGAGGGGGGUAGAAUUCCAGGUGUAGCGGUGAAAUGCGUAGAGAUNNGGAGGAAUACCGGUGGNGAAGGCGGCCCCCUGGACAAAGACUGACGNUCAGGUGCGAAAGCGUGGGGAGCAAACAGGAUUAGAUACCNUGGUAGUCCACGCNGUAAACGAUGUCGACUUGGAGGUUGUUCCCUUGAGGAGUGGCUUCCGGAGCUAACGCGUUAAGUCGACCGCCUGGGGAGUACGGCCGCAAGGUUAAAACUCAAAUGAAUUGACGGGGGCCCGCACAAGCGGUGGAGCAUGUGGUUUAAUUCGAUGCAACGCGAAGAACCUUACCUACUCUUGACAUCCAGAGAACUUAGCAGAGAUGCUUUGGUGCCUUCGGGAACUCUGAGACAGGUGCUGCAUGGCUGUCGUCAGCUCGUGUUGUGAAAUGUUGGGUUAAGUCCCGCAACGAGCGCAACCCUUAUCCUUUGUUGCCAGCGRUYCGGYCGGGAACUCAAAGGAGACUGCCAGUGAUAAACUGGAGGAAGGUGGGGAUGACGUCAAGUCAUCAUGGCCCUUACGAGUAGGGCUACACACGUGCUACAAUGGCAUAUACAAAGAGAAGCGACCUCGCGAGAGCAAGCGGACCUCAUAAAGUAUGUCGUAGUCCGGAUUGGAGUCUGCAACUCGACUCCAUGAAGUCGGAAUCGCUAGUAAUCGUAGAUCAGAAUGCUACGGUGAAUACGUUCCCGGGCCUUGUACACACCGCCCGUCACACCAUGGGAGUGGGUUGCAAAAGAAGUAGGUAGCUUAAC